rnacentral:rRNA from 1 species
GAUGAACGCUGGCGGCGUGCCUAAUACAUGCAAGUCGAGCGAACGGACGAGAAGCUUGCUUCUCUGAUGUUAGCGGCGGACGGGUGAGUAACACGUGGAUAACCUACCUAUAAGACUGGGAUAACUUCGGGAAACCGGAGCUAAUACCGGAUGAUAUUUUGAACCGCAUGGUUCAAAAGUGAAAGACGGUCUUGCUGUCACUUAUAGAUGGAUCCGCGCUGCAUUAGCUAGUUGGUAAGGUAACGGCUUACCAAGGCAACGAUGCAUAGCCGACCUGAGAGGGUGAUCGGCCACACUGGAACUGAGACACGGUCCAGACUCCUACGGGAGGCAGCAGUAGGGAAUCUUCCGCAAUGGGCGAAAGCCUGACGGAGCAACGCCGCGUGAGUGAUGAAGGACUUCGGAUCGUAAAACUCUGUUAUUAGGGAAGAGCAUAUGUGUAAGUAACUGUGCACAUCUUGACGGUACCUAAUCAGAAAGCCACGGCUAACUACGUG